rnacentral:rRNA from 1 species
UGGGGAAUCUUGCGCAAUGGGCGAAAGCCUGACGCAGCAACGCCGCGUGAGUGAUGAAGGUCUUCGGAUCGUAAAGCUCUUUCGGCCGGGACGAAAACGGCGUGGCUAACAUCCACGUCCUUGACGGUACCGGAAGAAGAAGCACCGGCUAACUCUGUGCCAGCAGCCGCGGUAAUACAGAGGGUGCAAGCGUUGUUCGGAAUUAUUGGGCGUAAAGCGCACGUAGGCGGUGACGUAUGUCGGGUGUGAAAGCCCUCAGCUCAACUGAGGAAGUGCGCCCGAAACUACGUCGCUAGAGUGUCGGAGAGGGUGGCGGAAUUCCCGGUGUAGAGGUGAAAUUCGUAGAUAUCGGGAGGAACACCAGUGGCGAAGGCGGCCACCUGGACGAACACUGACGCUGAGGUGCGAAAGCGUGGGUAGCAAACAG